AAAACAAUAACUCUUUAAUACCACCAAAAAAUCAAUUAUAUAUAAGCAAAAGAAAAUAUGAAAGGUAUACUAUAAAUAUCUGAGAAAUAUCUUUUAAUGUAAAAAAACAGUUACUACAUACCUCAUCAACUUUUUCAUUAUCUAUUUCCAUUACGUCACUAACACCUCCAACAUUUUUGGCUUUAUAAACCUUAUGACCAAAAUAAAUAAAUAAAUUAAAAAAUCUUAUUAGAAUAAUAACAAAACAUAACAACAUUAAAAUAUAAAAUUAUUAAAAUAAAUAAUACAAUGAUAUUCUCAUUAUCUUUUUCUUUUGUGUUCUUUCUAUCACCAUCAACAUCAACAGAAUCACCUACAUUCUUAUCUCCAAACUGUCUAUUACCAGUCUAAAAUAUUAAGACAAAUAUAAUUAGAAUACUAAAAGUAUAUAUUAAAAUUAGAAUAUAAGAAAAAAAAUAUAUUUUUAAUAUAGAUUCACUAACUCAAUAUAAAAUUCACAUAUAAUAAAUUUAAAAAUAAAAAAAUAAUAUAUACUUUUAAUAUAUUAAUAACUCAAAAAAAAAAAAACAUAACUAGAGGUAUACUAGAAAUAUAUUUAAAAUAUCUACUUAGACAAUUGAUUUACCUAAAAAUAAGUACCACCACAGCUUAAACUAUAAGCUCCAUAACAACUGCCUUGCAACUUCAACUUAAUAUCAGAUAACAAGUUGUAAAUUUCUGAAAUCUUUGCUUCAAUAGUAAUUUGGUGAGAAUAAAAUUCUCUCAUCAACUUAUUUUGUUUAGUUGACAAAAUUUUCAACUGUCUAAAAACUUCAACCAUGAAAGAGUAUGUUGAAGUAGAAGGUCCAGCAAAUAAAGGAGAACCAGCAUUAUUAAACUCAUCAAUGGCCUCAUCAAGCUUCUCAUUUCCUUUAUUCAAAAAACCUUUCCAAGUUUUUUUUUUUCCUCACUCGAAAUAAUAAUAUUUUUUUAAAUACAACUACAAAAUAAAUAAAAAGCAUAAAACAACAAAAGAAUAAAAAGUAUAAAAAUAAAAUUAAUAUUAUAAUAAAAUAAAGAAAAUUUACCAUUUUAGGAGAUGUAGAAAAAAGUUGAUUGCUCAAGGUAGUUGUAAGUUGGAAAUGUAGAAACCUCUUAUUUUAAUAUACGUGGUAUUUGAAUUCCAUCAUCAACAACAAGAUUUUCAAAAGAAUGUUUACAGCAUUCAUAAAACCACACUUGAAAAAGAAUUGGACAACCAUAUAUUUUAUAAUAGAAACUAUCACUUUUCUCUUUCAAAAAAUCAUUCUUCCGACUCAAAGAGUGAACUAAAAGAUGAAAAACCUCUAUUCCCAAAAAAUAAUUAUUGAAAACAUAAUUAUUAAUAAUAUUAAUAUGAUGUAUUUCAACAACGUUUAUCUUUGCUGUAGCCAACAAAAAUAUUUCAAUAAAAUAUAAAACAAUAGUCUUUGUAGCCAAUAAAAAUAUUUCAAUAAAAUAUAAAACAACAGUCUUUAUUGCAUCAACAGCAUUAUUCUCUCAUCUCUUACUAAAAAACACUCUUUAAUAUAUUAUAUGUAAUAUCUUGAAUUUAUAUUUCAUUUUAAUAAUAAUAAUAAUAUUGUAUAUAUAUAUAUAUAAAAUAAAAUAUUUUCUCCUUUUUCUUCCCUCCCCCUCCCUCUUUUCCUUCCCUCCUUUCCCCUCUCCCUCCUCCCUUUCCUUCCUCCCUCUCCUCUCUUCCUCCCCCAUUUUUCUUCCCCUUCCCGCCGGCCACUCCUUUUCCGCCGCCUGCGUGCCGCCGCUGACUCAUUCUUCCCCUCCCGCCGCUGCACGCCGCCUCUAUCUCCUCCAUCCUUCCGCGCGGCGUCGACAAGUAAAAGAAGGGUUGCCGUCGCCGAUUCAGCCCCCUGCAGCCGUCCUUUCCGCAAACCGACGCCGGAAUCGGACUCCCCACCCCCGAAAACCCUGGAAACGACCCUCCUCCGCCGGAAAAGCCUCGCCGGCAGCCUCGGGAAGCGUCGCCAGAGCAGCGUCUUUCCGGCCUCGAUCCGCCGCCUUCCGGACACUUUCCGGCCGAAAAUUUUGUACUUCCGGACUUUCCGCAACUCGAGCUUCGUGUAGGCGCUUCCGGAUUCGAAUUUCGACACCAUUGAGUCGGAAAAAAUAUUAGUACAGUUCUUGUGGCCCGGCUUCUGUUAUUUAAUUCCAGCAUAUUUGAUGUGUCUUUGGCAGAUCUUGAACCCGUUUUACGGAGGGUAAAUAUCCGUAAUUUAUGAGAGAUUCUACUGAAUUUUCGGCGGA